ensembl:lncRNA
GGCAAAAUGUCCAUGGGGAACACUGAGCCCAUGCUGGAGGCAUCUGUGAGAGCAAAGCAGGGAGGUACAAGUGGCUGCAUCUGUAGCAAGGCUGGGCUCAGCUGAAGGAAAGGAAAAGGAAAAAAAGAAGUGAAAUGGAAAAAAAAAAAAAAAAAAAAAAAAAAAAGGAGUGCUCUGCCAAUUGCUAAUUAGCUCCUGCUUGUAGGGAAGCUGGAGGUAGGAAGGGAGCACUGAGCUGACGGGCUGAGAAUUUCGCUGUUUCAGCAGAUGCUCCUUACUACUGGAUGCCAGUACAAAACCCAAGCCCAGAGCACAGUGCUGUCUAAAAAAUGAAAGAGAAGACCAUGUGAUCUCAUGAAGGAAAAGGAGAAAAGUGAAAAAGUGCUUGGCAGCCCCAACACCUCUCUCCGUUGUGGCUCUGGCAGAACAGCCUCUGGACAGGAGAAAGCACAUUUCUGCUGCAGUGCCCGGGGACGCGAAGGGUCCUCCACAGCCAUCAGGACACCCUGGGGACAUAUGUUGCAUGGAAAGGAUGAAGCUCAGUGCUGAGUGUAAACCACGCAGCCUAUGCCUUGUAGGAAGCGGUCGUGUAGGGAAAAUUGCAUCAUCAAACAAUUAGAGACUGUAUCUCAAGCCAUGUGCAGAGGGGGUCAGACUGAGGUUGCCGAGUGAUCUGAAUUUGGUGAUUUUCCGCACUGGUCUAAAGCCCCCUCUCCAGCAGAAAUCAGCCAUGUCACGGGGCUGCGAGAAGGGCGACUGAUAAGAGCGAUCUCUCUCAUCCCUCACACGAGCACGAAGCCCCCACCGGGUGCAGAGCGCUCCCCUGGGCCGCCCGGGCCCCACCGCUGCUCCCGCGAAGCCACCUCCGAGGGCACCCGCCUCGCUGCCCGCGCGAACCCGGUGUGGGCCGGGGCAGGUGACCCGUGGAGAGCGGCGGCGCCCGGCGGUGCCCGCAGGGGUCG